UGUGGAUGUGUAAAUAGCACAUGCUAAAUGUACUGUGGGCCUGGAGCCCCAAGAUUUUGAUGGUGGAGAUUUGGGAAAAUGCCCCUGGAGUGGGACCCUAUUAUUGUUUUCAAGAACCCUAUUUCAUCUAAUUUUCAUCAUUCUUGUGGAUCAUAAAUUGCAAUUUCUGCUUACAGUUUCUCUUAAUUUUUAAAAUUCCAGGAAUUCAAAAGUUUGGUGGUUGGAUUCUGUUUUUUGGGCAGCAAUGGCGAAAGCACGCAAGUCGCAAGAAGAAAUUGCGAGUGAAGCCAUCAAGCAUGCUUUGAAGGCUCUGCGGAAGCGCCAUUUGCUUGAGGAAGCUGCUCAUGCUCCCACUGUUCUAGCUCUUUCUAGACCCAUCGUUUCUCAGGGCUCUGAGUGGAAAGAGAAAGCAGAGAAUCUUCAAAUGGAACUUCAGCAAUGCUACAAAGCUCAAUCUCGCCUGUCUGAGCAACUUGUUGUGGAAGUAGCUGAGUCCAGAGCUUCGAAAACGUCUCUUCAAGAGAAAGAAAAUGCAUUGGCUGAUCUGCAGAAGGAGUUGACUGAAUUGAGGGAUGAGUGCUCUCAAUUGAAGGUGGACUUGGAAGAAAAAAUUAAAUCUCUGGAACUGGUUGUCAGUGAGAAUUCUGAACUUAAAGCACAACUGGAGCAGAUGACUACUAAAGCCAAUAAAGCUGAAGCUGAAAACAAGAUGUUGAUUGACCGCUGGAUGUUAGAAAAGAUGAAGGAUGCUGAACGCCUAAAUGAGGCCAACACACUGUAUGAAGAGAUGGUUGAGAAACUAAGGGCCAGUGGUUUAGAACAACUUGCAAGGCAGCAGGUGGAUGGUAUAGUUCGCCGAAGUGAAGAAGGUGCUGAAUUCUUUUUUGAUUCAAACAUCCCUUCCACAUGUAAAUACAGGCUUCGUGCACAUGAAGGUGGUUGUGCUUCCAUGUUGUUUGAGUACAAUUCCAGUAAAUUGAUUACUGGGGGACAGGAUCGGUUAGUUAAAAUGUGGGAUGCAAAUACAGGAUCCUUAAGUUCUACUCUUCAUGGCUGCCUUGGCUCAGUAUUGGAUCUCACAAUCACCCACGAUAAUCAAUCUGUCAUUGCUGCAAGCAGCUCAAACAACUUGUAUGUAUGGGAUGUCAACUCAGGUCGUGUCCGUCAUACCCUUACUGGCCACACUGAUAAAGUUUGUGCUGUUGAUGUCAGCAAGAUUUCAAGUCGUCAUGUUGUCAGUGCUGCCUAUGAUCGUACCAUAAAAGUUUGGGACUUAGUGAAAGGUUACUGCACAAACACAGUAAUUUUUCGCAGCAACUGCAAUUCUCUUUCCUUCAGCAUGGAUGGUCAAACCAUAUUUUCUGGGCAUGUUGAUGGUAACCUUCGGCUAUGGGACAUUCAAACUGGAAAGUUACUUAGUGAGGUUGCUGCCCAUUCACUUGCAGUCACGUCACUAUCCCUUUCCCGAAAUGGAAAUGUUGUACUGACCAGUGGAAGGGACAAUUUACACAAUUUGUUUGAUGUGCGAUCUCUGGAAGUUUGUGGCACAUUAAAAGCCAUGGGAAACAGAGUGGCUUCUAAUUGGAGUCGCUCCUGUAUCAGCCCAGAUGACAAUCAUGUUGCUGCUGGGUCUGCUGAUGGAUCUGUCUAUAUUUGGUCAAUAUCUAAAGGUGAUAUAGUCAGUACUCUGAAGGAACACACUUCCUCUGUUCUGUGUUGUAGGUGGAGCGGAAUUGCAAAACCCCUAGCUUCAGCUGAUAAGAAUGGGAUUGUUUGCGUCUGGACAUAACUGGCUUUCAUUUCUUUGGAUACGUGCAGAGGUUUGACCACACUAAAAUAGAUAAAGGUUUGCAUCUAUGCAAGCGGUGUGGUACUGCUCAAUUGUACAGUUUUCAGAUUGGGUGGCUGAAUUCUUUAUCACUGUUUUAUGUUCAUACAAGGAUACAAAGACCUCGCUGCAGUGGGGACAGACAGGAAUGAGGCUCCUGACUGAUUUACUGUUUUCAUAUCUCGCAGUGUGGACUUUGCAGGACUGCUGCAGUAAAGAACCUAUGCAGGAAUGUUGUAGCGAGGUAUUUGUAUCAUGUUCCAGCACUAAUUUUAUUCAUGAAAUAGUUAUUUGUGACUGAAUGGUAAUGGAAAUUGAUUUUAUAA